GAGGAAUUAUUUUAAGUUUUGAAAUUUUGGCUCUUUAUCCAGAAGUUUUGUUUCUCAG
rnacentral:tRNA from 1 species